rnacentral:lncRNA from 1 species
AAAUGUUCUGAUAUAGAAACUUCUGGGGCAGCAUGUCAUACUGGUAAUGUUGCUGCGAAAGUUCAUGAAAAACAAUCAGAAUUGGCAUCCGAUAUGCAGGUUCAUGAAAAACAAUCAGAAGUGGCAUCCGAUAUGCAGGUUCAUGAAAAACAAUCAGAAGUGGCAUCCGAUAUGCUGGUUCAUGAAAAACAAUCAGAAGUGGCAUCCGAUAUGCUGGUUCAUGAAAAACAAUCAGAAGUGGCAUCCGAUAUGCAUAAUUUGGAAGGAAAAUCAAGUUUAGAUACGCCAACUACUGGAGCACUGAGCCUGACAACAGCCUUGCCAGUGAAGGGGAACAAGCAAGAAUCUGAUGUUGCAUCUGAU